rnacentral:lncRNA from 1 species
ACUGACAGGCUCUUUGACAGAGGUGGCCCUCUUGAACUCAAACUCUUCUCCAGCAAUCGCAGAGCUAGAUCUCGAUUCAUAGAAUGACGGUCCAAAUCGCUCUCUAUAUCUAGCCAUCUCCUUCAGCCUAUGUUGAUCAUCCAAACUUGUCUGAAUGGCGGUCUCAAUCUCUGACUCCUCAUCAUAUGGAGCAGAGGCAUCCUCUGAUUCUCUGAAAUGAUAGGAAGGUGGUUUUUUAGUUCGACGGUCUACCUCUAUCCUC